CACCGAUGGCGAAAUCCGGAUUAUUGUUGAUAUUCCUGGUGGUUCUCUUUGUGGAGUUCACGUUCGCGGUGAGUCCGUCACCGGCUCCUUCGCCAGAUUUGGCGGCUGAUUCCCCUCCACUGCCUGUUCCGGCACCGGAUUCUGGAUCUCCGUUGCAUGCGCCGGCAGAAUCGCCGGUGGAGCCAGUGUCGCCUCCAGCUCCCUCGAUGAGGAGUCCCGCACCGGCGUCAGCACCAGCGAACUCCGAUGCGCCGGAGCGUUCCCCGGUGCCUGUGCCUGUGCCAUCGCCUGCGCCGAGUCCAAGCGAAGCGAGUGAUGUAAACCACGAGAACGUAUCGGCGAAUGUAGAUGAUGGACAGAGCUCGGGUGACGGCGGGAUGAGCGGGGGGAAGAAGGCGGGGAUCGUGCUUGGAGUGGUGGUUGCAGCAUGUUUGGUUGGGUUAGGAGGAUUGGUGUACAAGAAGAGGAGGGAUAACGUCAAGAGGACUCAAUACGGGUAUGCGGCAAGAAGGGAGCUACUGUGAUUCCGAUUCAGAUUCUUUCAUGGUUAAUUAUUAUAUUUUACUAGUUU
rnacentral:lncRNA from 1 species